UACAGGGGGGGCAAGCGUUGUUCGGAAUUACUGGGCGUAAAGGGUCUGUAGGUGGCCAACUAAGUCAGACGUGAAAUCCCUCAGCUUAACUGGGGAACUGCGUCUGAUACUGGAUGGCUUGAGUGUGGGAGAGGAAUGCGGAAUUCCAGGUGUAGCGGUGAAAUGCGUAGAUAUCGGGAGGAACACCUGUGGCGAAAGCGGCUCACUGGACCACAACUGACGCUGAGGCGCGAAAGCUAGGGGAGCAAACAGG
rnacentral:rRNA from 1 species